GAUGAACGCUGGCGGCGUGCCUAAUACAUGCAAGUCGAGCGGACGGACGAGAAGCUUGCUUCUCUGAUGUUAGCGGCGGACGGGUGAGUAACACGUGGAUAACCUACCUAUAAGACUGGGAUCAUUUCGGGACACGGGAGCUAAUACCGGAUAAUCUUUUGAACCACAUGGUUCAAAAGUGAAAUACGGUCUUGCUGGCACUACUAGCUGGAUACGCGCUGCAGUGGCUAGUUGGUACGGUAACGGCUUACCAAGGCAAGGAUGCGUAGCCGACCUGAGGGGGUGGUCGGCCACACGGGAGCGGAGACAGGCUCCAGACUCCUGAGGGAGGCAGCAGUAGGGAACCGUCGGCAAAGGGCGGAAGCAUUACGGAGCAAGGCGGCGUGAGUUAUGAAGGCCUCGGGAGCGGAAAAAUCGGUUACGAGGUGAAAACAGAUGUGGAAUUAAAUGUGCACAUCUUGACGGUAACUAAUCAGAAAGCCACGGCUAACUACGUG
rnacentral:rRNA from 1 species